GAACGGGUGAGUAACACGUAAAGAACCUGCCUCAUAGACUGGGACAACUAUUGGAAACGAUAGCUAAUACCGGAUAACAGCAUUAACUGCAUGGUUGAUGUUUAAAAGUUGGUUUUGCUAACACUAUGGGAUGGCUUUGCGGUGCAUUAGCUAGUUGGUGGGGUAAAGGCCUACCAAGGCGACGAUGCAUAGCCGACCUGAGAGGGUGAUCGGCCACACUGGGACUGAGACACGGCCCAGACUCCUACGGGAGGCAGCAGUAGGGAAUCUUCCGCAAUGGGCGAAAGCCUGACGGAGCAACGCCGCGUGAGUGGAGAAGGAUUUCGGUUCGUAAAGCUCUGUUGUUAGGGA
rnacentral:rRNA from 1 species